UACGAAGGGGGCUAGCGUUGCUCGGAAUGACUGGGCGUAAAGGGCGCGUAGGCGGAUGGCACAGUCAGAUGUGAAAUUCCCGGGCUUAACCUGGGGGCUGCAUUUGAUACGUGUGAUCUGGAGUGAGGAAGAGGGUCGUGGAAUUCCCAGUGUAGAGGUGAAAUUCGUAGAUAUUGGGAAGAACACCGGUGGCGAAGGCGGCGACCUGGUCCUUGACUGACGCUGAGGCGCGAAAGCGUGGGGAGCAAACGGG
rnacentral:rRNA from 1 species